CAAUAGCGUAUAUUAAAGUUGUUGCAGUUAAAAAGCUCGUAGUUGGAUUUCUGAUCGAGACAUCAGGUCGGGUCCGAGAGGAUCAUGUACUUUGAUUUUGUUUUGAUCAUCCUUGGGGAGAGCAUUUCUGGCAUUCAGUUGUCGGGAUUGGGAUCCUCAUCGUUUACUGUGAAAAAAUUAGAGUGUUCAAAGCAGGCCUCGGCCUCUGAAUACAUUAGCAUGGAAUAAUAAGAUAGGACUUUGGCGGUCUAUUUUGUUGGUUUGCACGCCAAAGUAAUGAUUAAUAGGGAUAGUUGGGGGUAUUCGUAUUCAAUUGUCAGAGGUGAAAUUCUUGGAUUUAUGGAAGACGAACUACUGCGAAAGCAUUUACCAAGGAUGUUUUCAUUAA
rnacentral:rRNA from 1 species